UGGAAAAUAAAACACCAAGGUGGCUUUCACCUUUGGAAGCUAAGGCCCGAACAAGACCCAAUAUGGAGGCCAAAUGGCCAAAAUAUUGGGAAAUAUUAGAAACAGAUGGAGACAAUUGGAAAUUGCAGAGUUUGGAGAAAAUGAAAGACAAAGUGCGAGAUUGGUUACACUAUGCUCAGAUUAAAGAAGUUUUUAAAAAUGAUAAGAAACUAGGGUUCCAGGUGGAGAAAUCGAAAUUAGAAACAGAAUUGUUAGAACCAAAGAUUAAGAUACUUUCAAGGAUGUAUAACUUGCUGUUGGAAUGGAAUACACAAGAUGAAAUGGUUAAAUCGGCUAUGAUAAGGUGGGCACAGGAUAUUGGGCAUAAUAUUAUGUUUGAGGACUGGGAAAGGCUGUGGAGUAAUGGAUUGAAAUUUACUGCAUGUAAUGCUUUGAAAGAAAAUGUAAUGAAAAUGAUUUAUAGAUGGUAUAUGACCCCAGUCAAACUCGCAAAAAUUUACCACCUGUCUGAUAACAAGUGCUGGAAAUGUAAAGAGUGUGAAGGAACGUUCUUUCACCUCUGGUGGACCUGCCCUAAAGUGAAGGCGUUCUGGGAAAUGAUUUAUAAUGAACUGAAAAAGGUAUUUAAAUAUACUUUCACUAAGAAACCAGAGGCUUUCCUUUUGGGUAUUGUCAGCCAAGGGGUGGCAAAGAAGGACCAGACAUUUUUAUGUAUGCAACAACAGCAGCAAGGAUACUACUCGCAAAACAUUGGAAAACUCAAGAUCUACCCACACUGGAAGAAUGGCAGAUGCAACUGAUAGACUAUAUGCAACUGGCUGAAAUGACUGGCAGAAUCCGUGACCUGGGAGAAGAGAGAAUCGAGGAGGAUUGGAAGAAAUUUAAGAACUAUCUACAAAAACAUUGUGAUUUGACUGAAUGCUGAAUAAGAUGCUAGACUAAAUAACUGAGCACCACUUAACCUAGAAAUUUUUAAGAAAAUAAGAAAAACUGUGAAAGUUUAACUCUUUAUGAGAACUUUAAGAUUAUGAAAUAUUGAAGAGAUAUAAGAACUUAAAUAAGAUGAUAAAUUGCUGACAAAAUGUUAUAAUGAUGAAGGUGGGAGCGGGAGAUGUGAGGAAGUCCAAAGAAAAUGUGAAACUAUGUUAAGACGAAUGUUAUAUUGUUUAUUACAUUUAUUCUUAUUGUAAAAUCCAAUAAAUUGCUU